GUGGGGAAUAUUGGACAAUGGGGGGAACCCUGAUCCAGCCAUGCCGCGUGUGUGAAGAAGGCCUUUUGGUUGUAAAGCACUUUAAGCGAGGAGGAGGCUACCGAGAUUAAUACUCUUGGAUAGUGGACGUUACUCGCAGAAUAAGCACCGGCUAACUCUGUGCCAGCAGCCGCGGUAAUACAGAGGGUGCAAGCGUUAAUCGGAUUUACUGGGCGUAAAGCGCGCGUAGGUGGUCAAUUAAGUCAAAUGUGAAAUCCCCGAGCUUAACUUGGGAAUUGCAUUCGAAACUGGUUGGCUAGAGUAUGGGAGAGGAUGGUAGAAUUCCAGGUGUAGCGGUGAAAUGCGUAGAGAUCUGGAGGAAGACCGAUGGCGAAGGCAGCCAUCUGGCCUAAUACUGACACUGAGGUGCGAAAGCAUGGGGAGCAAACAGGAUUAGAAACCCCAGUAGUCC
rnacentral:rRNA from 1 species